ensembl:lncRNA
AGCCCUUGCCUAUCAGUACAUCCGAGGCAGAGGCUGGGAGCCUCCCAGAGCUCUGUACCUGGCUGCUGCCCCCUGGGUGGGGAAUGAAUGAAUGAAUGAAUGAAGCCCCCUCCCAGCCCGGCUGCUCGCUGAGAUCAACUCUUGGGACAAUGCUGAUGGACUGCUGUGGAUAAAUGAUGUUCGUUCUGCACCUUGAGGGUGGGAUGCUGCCUUGCACAGGGGUCAUGUCUUCCUCCACAUCCAGUACCGAUGGGGCUGUAUGGAACACCACACCAAUGGACUGCUGUGCCAACAACAUGUUGGGUUGGAGGUAUGCAAUUGCCAUCUGGGUACAGUCCCUGUGGCCAAACCCAAUGGCGAUGUAGGACACAAGGGUGGCUGCCCAUCGCCGCUCCCUCCGGAAAGGAGCCAGACAGGAGAGAAAUCACUGCUGUCCAUGCCCCAAAAUCAAGAUGUGAAGUGGACAAGGCUCUGUUCUGCUGUUCCCUCUGCUGAGAUGUCAGAAGGACUCCCCAGGCAUCCAUCCACACUGAACACCUCCAUGAGACCUCUCUGCCCCAGGAAGCAGGAAGAUGCCUUUAUAUGUCCCCUUUUAGCAGCUGCUGCAAACUUCUUUUAUGCUAAAGCACGUGGAGCCGCGUUGAUUUAUUUAGCAGCGUCUCUGGAGGCUUCUUCAAGGUUAAGAUGUAGACAUCGCAUGUUAGGCUGGGCUGAAUGCUGGCAGGAAAAGACAUUUGGCUCUUCUAAUUGGAAAAACACGCCGCUUUUAUCACCCCGAGGCCAAGCCUCUACCACAGCCACACAGCAUAGGGGAACACAGCGGCUCAGCCCUGGGUCCCCAGAAAGGAGCACCGUCCCCUCACUGCCCUCCAGGUCAGCCCCGGUGGUGCACCCAUCCCUGCUGAGUGCUCAGCACCGGUCACGGAGCUGUCAGCCACGCUGUGCCUCAGUUUCCCCACUGCUGCUGGCUGCCAUGGGCUGCGUGCUGAGUUUCGGCGCAGUGUGUCUAAGAAGCCCCUUCCCCAUCCAUCUCGGUGUUCCCACUGCACAACACGGAGCACACCCACUGAUGAAGGCACACAGCAUCCUCAUCUGGCCGGGCUGCCUCAGCCACGUCGGUACUCAGAGCUACAGAUACAGAGGAAAAAAGCGAUUGCAAAGCAGAAAGGACCGUUUUGGGGGUACAUUUGGCAGUGAAAUCAGAGCUCGGGCUGGGAACCAGCAGGACAGCCUCCCUGCAGCCUCCCUGCGAUGCUCUCCAUGCACCGAACCCCGCACCACUCCUUCCUACACCAUCCCCCCGCUCACACCAAUGACUUUUAUUUUCGUACACGAAAAAGAAAACGCACAACGGAUUGGGAGCGUUAUUUUUCUGAACGCCACUUCGAAGAGUAAAAAUCUGAAAGCGUAAAUCCGGAGCAUCGUGGCAAAAUCCGGGCUCGGUUUAAAAACUAAAAGGGUUCUGCGAUUGUUUCUUUUCGUUUGUGAAAUAAUUCAACCCUCACCAAUAUUCCGGGCAGACGAGUGUUCGUUCGCCGUUUAAUCUCAGCGGUCGCACAACGAACCGAGAUUCCGAGGGGGUGAGAGAGUUCGGCGCAACGUAACUAUCAAAUAUCCCCCAAAGACUUAAAGCAAACCACACGUGGCUGCUUCUCUCGCUGCCCCACUGCCCGCAGCCAUCGGUGCAGGACGGAGGACCGCAGCGCUUCGCAGUGCCAUUAAGCAUUCGUUAAAACAUUUACUCGAUGGGCCGUAACAAAGCGCCGGAGCCGCGGGCGCACGCAGAGACUCCAUCGGACGGUUCUGCGGUGCAAAACCGUCGCGUUCAGAGCCGCGCAGCCCUCAGUCCCCUCUCAUCGCACCUCUCUCGGGCAGAUGCUGGAGGUGGAAGGGCUGCAGCUUACCCCGCUUUCUGCCGUCGGUUCUGGGCGUUCCGAUUUCGGGUUCCCCUCUCUCGGCCCGGAGCGCAGUGCCCGGCCCGUGGCAUCAGAGCCUGAGGGAUGGAGGGGGAAAGCAACGUGAGCCAGAAGCUCGCAGCGAGGUCUGUAAGUCCUUGUAUGGCAGAAAUAAACGUAUUACACCG